GUUGGUACCAUGGACCGCGGACCGCGGCCCAUGGACCGAACCGGACCGGACAAGACGGCCCAGACGGACGGAUGGGCGGGCGGACGAGCGGACGGACGGGGCCGACCGUACGAACCCACGAGGCCCAAUGACAACAAGUGAAGGCUAUAAAUACCUCUCCUGGUCCAACUGGGAGGGGGGUUGAUAAUUCUGAGAGAGUGAACACUGGAGAGUUGAGGUUGUGGGCUUACACCGGCGAGCACACGCACCAACAGUGGUGAACCUGACGUGAAACGAAAUACAUGGCGGCCGGAGAGAAGAGGAUGACGAAGAGCGGU
rnacentral:lncRNA from 1 species